rnacentral:rRNA from 1 species
GAUCAUGGCUCAGGAUGAACGCUGGCGGCGUGCUUAACACACGCAAGUCGAACGGAACUACUUUGAUGAGAUUCUUCGGAAAGGAUUUGAUUUAGUUUAGUGGCGGACGGGUGAGUAACGCGUGGGUAACCUGCCUCAUACAGGGGGAUAACAGUUGGAAACGGCUGUUAAUACCGCAUAAGCGCACAGUACCGCAUGGUAUGGUGUGAAAAACUCCGGUGGUAUGAGAUGGACCCGCGUCUGAUUAG